rnacentral:rRNA from 1 species
CACCCAUGUCUUUUGCGCACUUCUUGUUUCCUGGGCGGGUUCGCCCGCCACCAGGACCCAACCAUAAACCUUUUUUUGUAAUUGCAAUCAGCGUCAGUAAACAAUGUAAUUAUUACAACUUUCAACAACGGAUCUCUUGGUUCUGGCAUCGAUGAAGAACGCAGCGAAAUGCGAUACGUAGUGUGAAUUGCAGAAUUCAGUGAAUCAUCGAAUCUUUGAACGCACAUUGCGCCCUUUGGUAUUCCAAAGGGCAUGCCUGUUCGAGCGUCAUUUGUACCCUCAAGCUUUGCUUGGUGUUGGGCGUCUUUGUCUCUCACGAGACUCGCCUUAAAAUGAUUGGCAGCCGGCCUACUGGUUUCGGAGCGCAGCACAAUCUUGCACUUCUGAUCAGCCAUGGUUGAGCAUCCAUCAAGACCACAUUUUUCUCACUUUUGACCUCGGAUCAGGUAGGGAUACCCGCUGAACUUAAGCAUAUC